UCUUAGAAACCCUCCCUCUUCCCCCCACAAAAAAAAAAAGGCUUACCAAUACCGUGUAUUUUAUGCAGAAGAGCAUGCCAUGCUGCUUUUUCCGCUGCUUAAAAGCACGUUUUAGAAAUGUCUUACAAAUAAUACACUGAAACAACGCAUGAGAAGACUUCACCAUGGCAAUUUCACUGGAGCUUUAUUGCCUCUGUUGGUAAUGAGAGGGAUUGUAAGAAGUUACAUUGGAACUUACAGAGAUAUGUAAAUGAUGGGGUUUUUACUAAAUAUAAUCUUGUAAUUAAGUGUUUUAUAUCAGGGCACUUCUAAUUUUGUACAUAUUUAAUGUAUAAAACCAGGUUACAAACAUGAUGUUUGCCUUUUUUUUUCCUUGACAUUUGGCAAAAUUAAAGUGAUUCAUUUAAGGGGAGAUCAUCAAAUUGAAGACAUAAGCACUUACGAACGAAUUAAAGCAAUCCAAGUAAGUAACUGGCUGAAUUCUUAAAAAAAAAGAAAAAACACACAAAUAUAGAAGGAAAAAAAAAAAAAACAACAAAAAAAACACACAUGGCCACAUUGAGCACAUUUCAAUGCAAAAUAUUCUCUGUAACGAGGCAUUUUGUCCUUAGAACAACACCCUGUUAAAUCAAUGUUUCUUUCAACUUCAGUCACUUCACAAAAUAACCCUUUCCUGCAACAUAAUUAGUCAAAGUUUUAUGUAUUUCUUUAUAAUUACACAGUAAUUAUAAGCAUGUAGUACCAAACUGAUGACAACACUAUUUUGUUGAAAAGAUCUUGCAUUCAAAAGGAAUAUUGUUUAAAACACCACGGCAUUAUGCCACUACCCAAUCUCAGACUUUUUUGAACGACAAGUCUGUACUGGGAUGAAAAGCAAGUCAGUUCUCUCCAAACACAGCAUACUUGAACUAAUCAAUCUGAAACUGUACCAAAACC